UUUGGGGGCAAGGAAUACAAAUUGGGCAGGAGUGAAGCAGCAAUGCCUCAUUAUAUAAUGAGCUGAAAAUUGAGUAUUCGUAACUUGUAAUUGCAUAAAGAGAUGGCGCUAACUGGUAAGUUGAUUGCCCAAAUAGAGUUCAGGCAUGGAGGAGAUGUAUUUCAUGAACUCUUUAAACACAAACCACACCACAUAUCCAACUUGACACCUCAUUUAGUACAAGGCUGUGAUCUCCAUGAUGGGGAAUUUGGAAAGGUUGGCUCCAAAAUCUGCUGGACUUACACUCAUGGUAUGUAUGUUGGUCAUAAAUGUAUAUACAUCUAUGAACCUAAUUUGAGCUAUUUUACAUCUUUUCCCAUUUUUUUAUGCCGCGAUAAAUUUUUGAUCGACUAUGUGAAUCCAUUUUUAUCACCCCAAGUGAUUUGUUUAUAGAUCUAGUAAGAGAUUUACACACGUCAUGUUGAUUUUGGCAAGCUCUUUUGUCUUUUAACUUGUUUUACACAAUUGUGUUGCCUUUUAACCUUAUUUUUUAUUAUGUCAACCAUAAAGAGGGUGUUUGGUACGGAUUAAUAUUAGAUUUUUUAGUAGAUUGUAAUAGUUUUUAUUAAAUGUGUGGUUUAAAAGUUGCAGGACCUAUGAAAAAUUUGGUUAAUAUUGAUUGUUUGACUUUGACUUAAAUAAAAAUUAGAUUUUAAUCCAAAUCAAACGCAAUAUAAGUAUAUAUUCAUUCAACUCUAUCUAAAAGGAUAGAUUUCGUUAUAUCUAUCCUUAAAUUUAUCGAAAGAUCUAAAGUAACUCGAUCAUUAAUAAUUACAAUAUGACGUGUUUUACUUAGUUGACUUCUCUUUAUUUGAUUUGAUUUUCUGAGGUCGUAUCACUCUCCGAAAGAACAUUUUUCUACGUCAACCCUUAACUACAUUUUGCUCUAUCAAUUAUAAGUUUACAAUUGAAGAAUUUAAUUUGUGUGAAUGAUAGACGGAAAGGUAAGGAAAGCAAAACAGUUGAUUGAAGCCAUAGAGGAGGAAAAUAAAUUAAUCAAGCUUAAGGUGCUUGAAGGAGAUGUGAUGGAGGAGUACAAGGACUUCAUUGUAACUAUUCAUGUUGAAACCAAAGGUAACAUAGAUAUGGUCUCGUGGACUUUGGAGUAUGAGAUGCGGAAUGAAGAUGUUUCACAUCCAAUUUCUUUGCUGGCUUACUUCAUUGAACUCACAAAAGAAAUUGAGGCUAAUCAUUGAUAUUUAAUCUUCCCUGUAUUGUGUACUCCAAUAAAACGUGUGCUUGUUUGCACACGCAUGGUUGUGCCUGCAUUGUGUAAUCAUGUGUUGCUUUUAAAGGUUUCUAAUAUAGCUAAUUAUUUAUUGGUCUAUCGGUAAGAAAAUAUUGGACAAUGUAUGUCUUGUCCAAUACUUCUAAUCGCCAUGCAUGCACUAUGGGUUUUAAUUUUAAAUUGUUAAGUUAUGUUUUUAAGAUAAUCUAUUAAUGAUCUAGUUGUCAUAACCUUAAUAUAGCUCAUAUUUCGUAUAUUUGAGCUGUAAAGUUGUGUUGUUGAAUUUUUAUUUUUAGAUAAUCCAAUUUCAGAUGUUGAGAACAAAACUUAGAUACUUCGUGUCUCUACACAAUUUGAAAUUUUAAAUAAGAUCUAUCAAAUUUAAUAAUAAUGUAAGUGAAUAUUGAAAGUUAGGAUAUAAAUAUAAGUGAAUGUAAAAUAAAGAUUGACCGACAAAUUUAAAUUUAUGUAUUAUGAUUACUUUUGAAGUUUUUUAGAAUUAUUUUUUAACAUGUCAUUAAGAAAUGUGGGAAGAAAUAGUUUCUUAAGUUCUACAUAUGCAUGGUUAGGGUGGGCAAAAGAACCAAAAAAUCAACCAAAUCAAGUCACGUCAGUUUGGAUUGGUUUGAACCAAGUAAUUGGCUUGAUUGGGUUAAUUAUAACCAUGUAAAAGUUGGGUAAGUUUGGUUGCGGUUUAAGCAAAUCAACCCAUCAAUUAACAGAUCCAAACCGAUUUUUUUUUCAUUUUUUAAUUUUUUUCGUUUUAAAAAUCAUAAUAUUUAAACUUAAAAUAUAAUAAUAAUAACACAUAUAUAAUUAUUUCUCAAAUAAUUGGUUUACCGUCUACACUCCUAGAAAAACUCUAAAUUCUAAAAGGAAAGGAAAGGAAAGUUGGGUGAAAAAUUGAUUGUUGUAAACUCGAAAUUCAGAUUGUAGCCUUACUUUUUAUUUUAGUGUAAUUGUUUAUUGAUAACCAUAUGAUAUAUAGGAUGAUUUUAGGAAAAUCAACCAUUUACCAUUUAUAUUAUUAUUACGCACUACACAAGCAAAAUAAAUAAAUAGGCAAACAAUUUUUUUAAUCCAAAAUAGGUAUGCAAAUUUUUUCUAACUCGAACUAAUUUCCGAAUCGACUAAUCAAACCAAACCGAUUUAGUUUGGUUUGAUUUGGUUUCAACAUUUUUAUUGGGUUGGAAUUUACCCUUAACCAUUGAAGUCGGUUUCGGUUUCAGGUUGGACUCAAAACCAACUCAAUCCGAACCAUGGCCUAUCCAUGAUAAAGAAAUGCACCUAUAUCUUGCUUUCUUUUCACAUUUAUACAUUCGUUUUCUUUAAAGCUGAGUUGUUUGGCCCCAUAUAUAAUUGUGUACAUGGUUUUAAAUUGUGGAAUUUAUCCAUCGUUCUAAAUUUUGUGAUAUAUAUGUGUUUCAUGAUCCAACAAAAUUAUUGCGCCCAGUAUUUAUCUAGUUGUUUGUUGAUAUAAUCAACUGGGUGCGUUCAUGCUUUUGAAAUUUGGCACUAAUCAUUUUAAGUCAUACUAAUCCAUUUGUUUUGCAAAAAUUGUCCCGAUUUUGAGUCGAUUUAAUCCAUUUUUUUUUUAAAGUAUUUAAGUGAUAAAUGUGGGGAAAAUUCAAAUUCUAUUCAAUCUACUCGAACCAAGGGGUUAUUUGCACUUUUGCAUUAGAAUCCUUUUCUCUUUAGUAUACUAUAGCAAUAAAUUAUUUUUCCAAGAUGACGUUGGAACAAAUCACGGAGUAUUUUGAACUACUUAAAUAAUGAUUUAAGCGAAGAUUGAGAAUAUUUGUGUUUACAUCAAAAGUUAAAGAUAGUUUAUAACUAGUUUUAUGCGUUUUUAUUGUAUAUUAACUCUUGAAACUAAUUAGCUCACGUUCUAUUGAUUAUUGGGGACACGAGGUGAGAUUUGUUGUCGCUUUGCUAUUUUUUGAAAUAUAUUUUCAACAUCGAUAUUGCUCAUCGUCUCUUCUUAGGAAAUGAAAAGACGUCAUGUGAAUCUCGUUUUCAAUUUGGACCAUAUGGACAAUAGAAGCCGGGCCUAUCCGCAUGCACGUGAGCCGGUUCCAUCACAAAGAGAUAAAUCAAUGGUCAAGAACUCUCCACAAUGGGAAGGAACAGCUCUUACAACACGAGACAAUGGUAAGUGGAUUCUAGCUAGAUACACCGAGAACGAUCCAACAAAAAUUAACAAUCACAAAUGAUUAUAUCAAAGAAAGAAGGCAAAACAAGAAUGUUGUGCAUUGCAUUAAGUUAUUUUUUGUAUUCAAAGUUUCAUUAGCCCUCAAGUGUUACGUGGGGUGAAAUAUUUAUAAUAUUGCAAGUGAAAUGGUGGCCUUCGGAUGGAAAUACACAUAACAUCAUCUCUUUAAUUCAAAUAUCUAAUCCUAGUCAUCACUCUGAUUUUCCUAGCUUGUGGCACAUUUAAUGCUGUUGUACAUGGUAGGCACACUAUUGACAAAACAAGACUCUUACACUUACUACAAAGGUCACAUUAAUCGUUCUAAAGAGAUCUCAUGUAUCAAUUCAAAAUAUCAUUGUGCUACGGAGCCUCGGAUUCGACAUUGUGAUGCUCCUCGAACUUUAGUUUGUGAAGCCUCUUCACCGUGGCAUCUCUACUUUGGUGGAGGGAUAUGGAGACCGGCCUCGAUACUGUCCUCAGGGCCUCAUCUACUAUGCCAGGUACUUUGACGGUGGUAGGUCGGGUCGACCAUGUGGAGCCACGUGUUCUAAGUUGUAAAAUGUUGGAUUAUUAGAAAUAUAUUAGGAGGACAAUAAACUUGAGCUCGUUGUGGGAGAAUAAUAAACUCAAAUAAUUGAAUUAAUUAUUUUGACAUAUCAAUGUGUGCGAUCGUAUUGAUUGUCAACUUACUAUAUAAAUUUUACAAAUCUAG
rnacentral:lncRNA from 1 species